AGCGAACGCUGGCGGCAGGCUUAACACAUGCAAGUCGAACGCCCCGCAAGGGGAGUGGCAGACGGGUGAGUAACACGUGGGAACGUACCCUUUGGUUCGGAAUAACUUGGGGAAACUCAAGCUAAUACCGGAUAAGCCCUUAUGGGGAAAGGUUUACUGCCGAAGGAUCGGCCCGCGUCUGAUUAGCUAGUUGGUGAGGUAAUGGCUCACCAAGGCGACGAUCAGUAGCUGGUCUGAGAGGAUGAUCAGCCACACUGGGACUGAGACACGGCCCAGACUCCUACGGGAGGCAGCAGUGGGGAAUAUUGGACAAUGGGGGCACAACUGAUCGAGCCAUGCCGCGUGAGUGAUGAAGGCCUUAGGGUUGUAAAGCUCUUUUACCCGGGACGAUAAUGACUGUACCGGGAGAAUAAGCCCCGGCUAACUUCGUGCCAGCAGCCGCGGUAA
rnacentral:rRNA from 1 species